rnacentral:rRNA from 1 species
GACGAACGCUGGCGGCGUGCUUAACACAUGCAAGUCGAACGGAAAGGCCCUGCUUUUGUGGGGUGCUCGAGUGGCGAACGGGUGAGUAACACGUGAGUAACCUGCCCUUGACUUUGGGAUAACUUCAGGAAACUGGGGCUAAUACCGGAUAGGAGCUCCUGCUGCAUGGUGGGGGUUGGAAAGUUUCGGCGGUUGGGGAUGGACUCGCGGCUUAUCAGCUUGUUGGUGGGGUAGUGGCUUACCAAGGCUUUGACGGGUAGCCGGCCUGCGAGGGUGACCGGCCACAUUGGGACUGAGAUACGGCCCAGACUCCUACGGGAGGCAGCAGUGGGGAAUAUUGCACAAUGGGCGGAAGCCUGAUGCAGCCACGCCGCGUGCGGGAUGACGGCCUUCGGGUUGUAAACCGCUUUCGCCUGUGACGAAGCGUGAGUGACGGUAAUGGGUAAAGAAGCACCGGCUAACUACGUG